UCCAGCUCCAAUAGCGUAUAUUAAAGUUGUUGCAGUUAAAAAGCUCGUAGUUGAACCCUUGGGCCUGGCUGGCCGGUCCGCCUCACCGCGUGUACUGGUCCGGCCGGGCCUUUCCUUCUGGGGAACCUCAUGCCCUUCACUGGGCGUGUUGGGGAACCAGGACUUUUACUUUGAAAAAAUUAGAGUGUUCAAAGCAGGCCUUUGCUCGAAUACAUUAGCAUGGAAUAAUAGAAUAGGACGUGUGGUUCUAUUUUGUUGGUUUCUAGGACCGCCGUAAUGAUUAAUAGGGAUAGUCGGGGGCAUCAGUAUUCAAUCGUCAGAGGUGAAAUUCUUGGAUUGAUUGAAGACUAACUACUGCGAAAGCAUUUGCCAAGGAUGUUUUCAUUAAUCAGUGAACGAAAGUUAGGGGAUCGAAGACGAUCAGAUACCGUCGUAGUCUUAACCAUAAACUAUGCCGACUAGGGAUCGGACGGUGUUAGUAUUUUGACCCGUUCGGCACCUUACGAGAAAUCAAAGUUUUUGGGUUCUGGGGGGAGUAUGGUCGCAAGGCUGAAACUUAAAGGAAUUGACGGAAGA
rnacentral:rRNA from 1 species